CAUAGCCCACUACGCCUGGAACGGUGAGUGGGUCAAAGCUCCGGCGGCAUAGGAUGGGCCUGCGCCGUAUCAGGUUGUAGGGGGUGUAAAGUACCCUCUAGCCAUCAACGCGUACGGGUGUUGGGAGACAUUGCCCGGAGAUGGAUUCUGAGACACGAAUCCAGACCCUACGGGGUGCAGCAGGCGCGAAAACUUGGCAAUGCGAGCAAUCGUGACCAGGGAACUCCAAGUGCGUAGGGUAAGACCUACGCUUUUCUUGACUCUUCAAAGGUCUUGGAAUAAGGGGUGGGUAAGGACGGUGCCAGCCGCCGCGGUAAUACCGGCGCCUCAAGUGGUAGUCGCUUUUAUUGGGCCUAAAACGUCCGUAGCCGGUCUGGUACAUUCGUGGGUAAAUCAACCCGCUCAACGGGUUGAAUUCUGCGAGCACGGCCAGACUUGGGACCGGGAGAGGUGUGGGGUACUCUCAGGGUAGGGGUAAAAUCCUGUCAUCCUGAGAGGACCACCUGUUGCGAAGGCGCCACACUAGAACGGAUCCGACGGUCAGGGACGAAACCUAGGGGCACGAACCGGAUUAGAUACCCGGGUAGUCCUAGGUGUAAACGCUGUGGACUUGAUGUUGGGGGCGCUCCGAGCGCUUUCAGUGUCGAAGCGAAGGUGAUAAGUCCACUGCCUGGGGAGUACGGUCGCAAGGCUGAAACUUAAAGGAAUUGGCGGGGGAGCACUGCAACCUGAGGAUUGUGCGGUUUAAUUGGACUCAACGCCGGGA
rnacentral:rRNA from 1 species